rnacentral:lncRNA from 1 species
CAUUAACACAACUGACUUUUUGUGUCAGUGCCAUGUAUAUUUCUGUCCUGUCAUUAACUUGUAAGCCCUAGUAACGGCUAAUCGUUUGUACAGCAACAGAAGUAAACCGAAGAUACUGGCUAAGACUGGAUUGAUUGUGGACUUUUGUACUGUAUUGCAAAAUCCGAUCUCUGUUUCUCUGGUGGUUGUGUAAAGGCUGAGGAAUUCCUACCAUGUGCAGUCUGUGGUCUGGGUGUUCACUGUAUCUCUGUCUGAUGCAUAAAGGUAGGCAGUCGCAGCCCGUGCUAAAUGCAAUAGUCCAGGUUCUUAAGUAUUUUUUUCAUUUCAAAUAAAUACCUACUAUUUAC